UUUAAAAACUUGUCUUUUGAGUUAAAAUAUGCUUAAAAUAUUUUUUCUUUUUCAAAAAUCAACUUGAAUUCAUAAACUAAUAGCUCUCCCUCUUUUUGAAUGAAUAUGACUUUUUAAUCAGAUUUUCAAAUAAAUACUUUUAAGCUUUAGGAGGAAUAGAACUUUUCAAGGAUUUGAACAAUGAAAUCAAGCAUAACAUUUAAUUCAAUAUUUGUUC
rnacentral:lncRNA from 1 species